rnacentral:rRNA from 1 species
AACGAACGCUGGCGGCAGGCCUAACACAUGCAAGUCGAACGAGAAGCUAUCCUUCGGGAUAGUGGAAAGUGGCAGACGGGUGAGUAACGCGUGGGAACGUGCCUUUCGGUUCGGAAUAACUCAGGGAAACUUGGGCUAAUACCGGAUACGCCCUUCGGGGGAAAGAUUUAUCGCCGAAAGAUCGGCCCGCGUCGGAUUAGCUUGUUGGUGAGGUAAAAGCUCACCAAGGCGACGAUCCGUAGCUGGUCUGAGAGGAUGAUCAGCCACACUGGGACUGAGACACGGCCCAGACUCCUACGGGAGGCAGCAGUGGGGAAUAUUGCACAAUGGGCGCAAGCCUGAUGCAGCCAUGCCGCGUGAGUGAAGAAGGCCCUAGGGUUGUAAAACUCUUUCACCGGUGAAGAUAAUGACGGUAGCCGGAGAAGAAGCCCCGGCUAACUCCGUG